AGCAGCCGCCGCGGUAAUACGGAGGGUGCAAGCGUUAAUCGGAAUUACUGGGCGUAAAGCGCACGCAGGCGGUCUGUCAAGUCAGAUGUGAAAUCCCCGGGCUUAACCUGGGAACUGCAUUUGAAACUGGCAGGCUAGAGUCUUGUAGAGGGGGGUAGAAUUCCAGGUGUAGCGGUGAAAUGCGUAGAGAUCUGGAGGAAUACCGGUGGCGAAGGCGGCCCCCUGGACAAAGACUGACGCUCAGGUGCGAAAGCGUGGGGAGCAAACAGGAUUAGAUACCCGCGUAGUCCCUGUCUCUUAUAA
rnacentral:rRNA from 1 species